GUGCCUUUCUUGGACGUUUCCUCCCUGGACUUGGGCCGUGCCGCGAGGCACGGCCCCUUUUUUUGCC
rnacentral:sRNA from 1 species